UACGCACGAGAAGCUGGGAAGAGCGAGGGCGUCGAGGGGCAGCGCGUUGUCGGGGCGGGGGGUCCGAGCUCCUUCGGGAGACGCGCCGGCCGAGAGAAGGGAGGAAUGAGCAACAGGCAGACGCAAGGGCACGGGCAGAUGUGUGCAAAGAUAAAUGAGCAGAUAAAUCACAGAGCGUCUGGGCCCAAAGCGCAUUUGCAUUCCUCAAAUGAAACUCCAAGGAGAAACACUGGCACGGGGCUCAGGAGACUUGGAGUGGAAACGUGCACACGCCACGAGAAGCGGGUGAAAGACGGCAUACGCUUCAUCUCGACCGAGGACUUUGCAUGGCGACGCUGUGAUCAAGAAAGCUUCUUUUCACAGCUCAGUAAUGAAGCCCGCUGACAGUUACCCGGCGACGACAACUCCCCGCGCGGCUUUUAUCACAUGUCGCACUUAAACGACAUCAUCGACUGCGGGAAAAUUGGAGACAGGUCAUCUUUGAUCUACGGAGGUCCUGCGUCGCCUCAAUGUCACACGGCGAAGGACGUCGCAGCGUUCCGCAGCUGACGAUCGCGUCCGUGAGACAGACAGGAUGGAUUGGGCGGUGGCGACUGACUAAGAGCAGAAAGAUUUUGUUUGAAAACUUGAGCCGGAACGUGAAAAAGUUCCACUUUGAAAAGUCUUGAAAUGUUGAGACAUGGCAGUCAAAGUCAUAAAUUGUUCAUUGUUGGUUUUCAGUUGUCAAGCAGUAACACAUACUGACACCGAGCACUUACGCCGCAUUUUUCCAGGCCAUGUUUUUACUCUCCCUAUGGUUUUUAUUUUUUAUCUUUGAGACGGAAACAAUCACAAUACUGUUUUCAAAAGCUUCAUUAGUCAGAAAGCACCCCCCCCAAUCAAAAAUGACCAAAAAUAUCAGGCUAUGUAAAGUAUGCACAUCAUCUGUUGGCGCUUAUCUCAAAGGAUACUUUAAUAACCUUUUGUCAUCUUAUACGUGACUUUUAAAGAUAUUGUAUGUGAGAAAUGGGACUGGGUUGGAUCAAGUCUGGGUAACCGUAUUCUUAACUUUGGAGUAAAAAACAGGCCACCACGGCUUGUUUUACUUGGGAAGUGUGGGAAAUGUAACCAGACGCGAGGUCCUUAUUUUAUGACAGUCCCUAUAUGCAAAGCUUGAAGAUAAAGAAUGGCGCACAAUUAACUAGUUUCCACAGAUGUAAGAAUAGCCUUACUUAGCAUUUUUCAUUUCAUAGUUUCAUGUUUAUGGCCUUGAAGUAUAUUCAUUGCUAGUAUUUAUAGCAAAACUUUAUUGCUAGUAUUUAUGCAAACCUUCGCCAAUUUGACAAGAGGCUUGGAAUUGUUUCUGUUGAGCAUUGCUACGACCAUUUGUUGAAAAGCACACCUGUUUGCACCUAUCCUCAUAUUUUUCUCCCCCUUGCGUAACACUAUGAGAUGUCCCCCAAAUGUCCUGCUCCUUGGAUGACUUGCUGUCCAGUGUAAGAUCAAAGUUUUGCUGUAGCGAGGGUUCACUUUAAUGUAAUUAUUACUUUACUACUGUGUUAGCGCAGGCUAGCGAUAGACUAUUCGGAUAACAUCACCACCAUAGGAGCCACCAUAGUGCAAGUGACGUCACCAUUUUCACAGCACCGUAUCGCAGGUCAAAAAGAGCUGCUCGACAGUGUGGGGGACAUUGAAACAGAGCAGAAUAUUUACAAUACCGGAGACUUGUUGUGCUGUUGGUUGUUACAACAGACGAGACAGAUAUUCAAAGAGGUCAUUCUAUAGAAUACCAGCUGAAAUGACGGGAAAAGAUCGAUGGAUUUUGGUAAUUAAACAUGAUGGAUGGUGCCCAACCUAAUUCACACGACUGCAUAGCGAUCACUUUUUUUUCCAGAUAGGAAUUAUUUUUCUCAAUCUCAAAUUCCCAAGAAGUAUUUAUAAUGCCAAGUUGUGUCGUUUGACAACAAUGCGUUGAAGAAAAAAUACAACAGGGAGUUGUCUCCAACGUACACGGAAGCAUGUUGCAGCCACACGUUAAUCUUCGGUAAACCUCUCCCCCAACAGACAUUUUUUUUUUAAUAUGCGUUGUUCUCAAAUGAGUCCAAUGGGUAUUUAAAAAAAAAGGUACUAAACCGUCGGUCACACAGAGGUUUACGUAGGUUAACGUGUAGCCGCAAAACUCUUCUGUGUAUGGGAGCUGAAACCUAUCCCAGCGGUUUAUUUUCUUUUUUAAAAUACAUAUUGGACUCAUUUGAGAACAAUGUAUAUUGUUACAGAGAGGUUUUACCGUUUAACGUGUGGCUGCAACACGCUUCCGUGUACGGAGGAGCCGACUCGCUGUUUUUCCCCCCCCCAAUCAUAGUUAAUGAAUGUGAGUUUGUGUAUAACCAGGGGUCAUUUAUUUAAAUAUUGGUAUUUGGAUUGAAAAAAUUUGAGUGGCUCCAUCAUUAUGUGGGAUUUAUUCCUGAUCCAGCAAGGAAGUAUUUGUGUGCGUCCAGUCUUUUAUACGCUUUCGAACUCUUCUGUGUAAAUCUCAAUGACUUACUCACCAGAUCCAUGUGUAGAUCCAGUUGUCCAAGACAAGCGGAAGCGGGUUCACAGUCCAAUUUCUUAUCGGCGAAAACAUUGACUUUUGCAUUAAAUAUGGGUCCUCUAUGCCAAAUGUCUCUCAUUUUUCCAUGUACCUUCGUUUAUUAUCAUCAACUUCUAAAUGUUUAACGGUAUCGGACAAAACUCUGGAUGUUGUGCUAUAAGCCAUUUUUGUGUCGUCUCAACAGAAUUAACUUGCAACAAUACUUUGUUUGACCGGCAAUACGGUGAGUCACGUGAUUUUAUGACGACAUCUUAACUGAGAUUGAAUCUUUGUUUUUUGUUUUUUUCUACCUCAAAUUAGUAUGGUGGGAAACUCGUGGAUUGAAAGCAACCAAAGACCUAAUGCAACACUUGGAUUGAAACGCCUUGGAGAACAACAGCAAUGGCGCAUUUUCAGCAUUCACCCAGAUAAGCGGUUCCACCACAAAAUCAUCGCUAUUAAUAAAAUGGCAAGAACGCCAGCGUUCGUCGGGUCUGGUCUUGAAAACGAUCUCAUGUAAACGGCCACUAAAUUGAAAUUGUUUUGGAAACGGCUCUCGUGCGCUUUUACAAGGAAGCGGUUUUGAAAGCUUUAUAACGUAUUUACACCAAAAGAGCAUUUACCAACUUGGUUUGGGGAGCAAUUGUAGCCGUGCACAUAACACUUAAAACGUCAAUUUGGGUUUGGCUUCCAACGUAAUCAUGCUCGCUCGCUCGCUCGUAACUUUUAGCAGCUCGGGGACUUUCCCAUGAACGGUAAGGAGUGGUAGUAGGAGGCGGGUGUGUGCGUGUGGGAGGCAGCAUGAAGGAGAGACUGUCAUCACUAAUUCCUUGCCAGGCAGCACCGCAAAGUGUUGACUAACUAAUGGUCGUGUUUAACAAGUGAAGUGUAACAUGCUUGAGGAAACACAGCUGGAUAUGAGUCUUGUGCAUUGAGUGACUCGGAGAAAACAAUUCAUUGUCUUCAGCGACGCCCGCCCGCACGCACGCACGCAACGCCGGGCAAAGAGGGAGUUUAAAAAAGCAGUGGAGGGGAAACAGCUGGAUUCUUUCAAAAGUGUGGUUGGCGGCUGGGUCACAAAGGCUGCAUCUCGGCGGUGCUGUGGUGGGAGUGCGGAAGAAAACGGUAGUCCAACAUUUGCAGAGAAAGGGGAGACGAUUUGGGAAAGAGAGAAAGCAUCUCGAAGGAUACUUGUCCCAGAAGAAGGAGAGAAAUUUGUAAAGUGAGAUCAGGGUUAGGCUUUAUGGAGUUUAGGUGAGGGGCCUUGAGGGUCAGGGUUUGUUUGGUUGCAAAUGCAACUGAAACUGAAUAAAAGAAGUUGUAUGUGCUUGACUGUUUGGUGAUGGCUGGGAGGGACCGUAGUCGCAGAAUGGCAGCCACGCUUCUGUCAGACUGCCCCAGGGCGGCUGGCCGUGGCUACACAAAUGAUCUUACCGUCACCAGGAGAGGAUUGAGUGAAUAAUGUGAGUACCGUAUUUUCCCCACUAUAAGGCGUACCUGAAAGCCUAGAAUUUUCUCAAAAGCCGACGGUGCGCCUUAUAUAUAGAUCAAUAUUGAGCCUUUAGUGCAGCUCCACCUAAUGGAUGGAUAAUAUAACCCCAGCCUCUACUGUAGCGUCUAUUCAAUGUGCCUUAUAAAGCGGUGCACCUUAUAUAUGAAAAAUGUUUUAAAAUAUGCCAUUCAUUGAAGGUGGGCCUUAUAAUGCGGUGCGCUUUAUAGAGCGGAAAAAAUUCUAAUUGUAAUGCAUCUUUGAGUCCCUACAAAAGUACUCUAGUACACUUUUGAUGCAUUAUAUUGACUAUAAAAUGACCCUUCUGAGGAUAAACGGCUUAGAAAAUGGGAAAAAUAGUUGGUGUUGGUUGGUUGGUGGUUAGGGAGAGUUGUGUUAAAAUCUGAAUUUGGGUUGCGUGUUGAAUUGCAAAAAUGUUUAGCAGUUAGGAGGGGGAUGGGAUGCAAAAAAUGAUAAGCAUUAAAGUUUUCUGCACAUACAAAUACAAAGAAAGUCGUGCACUAAUACAAUGUACGGGAUGGAUUUUGUUAAAACUUUCUUUAGGGUUAAAAAGUGUCGGGGUUAUGGUUUUGGAGGAAGUUCAGGGUUAAAAAAAAAAAGCAACGAUAGGGGUUAGGCAUUAGAUUAGGGUUAGUUUACAUGAAAAAGGGUCAGGGUUACUCCUGGCAAGGAGAAAAUGUUCUCAUUCUGUUUUCCUUUUUGCUCGCACAGUACGUUCUAUCAAUGCCUCGUGAAGAAGAAGAAAACUUGGAUUUCAGUGCCCAAAAAUGUUGCCCAAUAAGCCACAAACAUGCUCACACAGCACGCAAGAGUGAGCUGAAAGGACCAGGCGGCGGUUGCCUUUUGACCACGUUUUUUUUCAAUAAUUUUUUUUUUGGCAACAAAUCUCUUUAUACAAAGUCCAUGUGCUCCUCUUGAGAUUCUAUUUGUACAAGAAAUGUUCUAAAAACAGCAUGUAUUAUUGGGGUUUAUAUAAAGUAAAGCCUCGGUUCUCGAACGUCACCGUUUUCGAACAAAUUGGUUUUUGAAUGAAAAUUUCGAGAUUUUUUUGCUUCUGUUUUCGAACAAAAAUCGGUACUCGAACGCACCCGACAAAACACGGAAAUAACGUAUUGCACGCGGCCAGACCAGCUGACCCACGACGCGCUUUGUUGUGAAUUCCCACGGCACUGAAAAAACCUGGAAAUAACAUAAUGCACCCGGCGCAAGCAGCUGAUCCACCCGCGAUCCGCUUUGUUAUUGUCAAUUCGAACGCUCCCUGAAAAAAAACGCCAGAAAUGACACAAGCAAGCAGUGCACUUUUGUUAUUCUGUAUAAUGCAGCCUCUGUACACAGAUGCGUCCCGGUACUGACAGUUGUUUUUCUUCUUAUGAAGGACUACCGUAUUAACCACCAAUCAUUGCUCCAAAGAAGGCAUGUUGCUUCUUUAAAGUUAUUCUGCACUUUUGUUAAUAAAAAAAAGUUUACAAGGCUGGGGGCCGAGUCGCUACAGAUAUGGUAAUGCACCUCCCAGUAUAACAUACAUAAAGCAUACAUUUUAAGCAAAAAAUAAAUAUGUUUCUUAAAUUAUUUUAUUACAUAAAGUAUUUCAACUAUACAUGUAUUUCUACUAUGCAGUUUAUUAUCAGGAAAAGCUUUAAAAAUGCUUUAAAAAGCCAAUUUUUUUAGGCUUGGAAUGCAUUAUUUCUUUUUCCAUUCAUUGUAAUGGGAAACAUUUAUUCGGUUUUCGAACGAAUCACUUCUCGAACCGUUUUCAGGAACAGAUUGUGAUUGACAACCGAGGCAUCACUGUAUUGCGGUCCCACCACAAUGUGGCUUUUCUUGGAAAAAAUAAAUCAAGGUUUUAAAAUAUUACAUUUAGUUUUAAAUGAGAUUAGAAUAGCGAAAGGACUGUUAUAUGCUUGACAUACGUCAAACGUGUUUUUAUGUGGUUUCUGUAUGUCCCACAUUUUCACCAAUCUUGGGUGGAUCUGACUGAAGUACCAUUGUAUGAGCAAAUCGGAAGUAGCCAAAACCGUGACAGUAUAAUGGGCUGUCUGGAAGAGCGAUGACUGCAAAGGCUCCCGAAGUCUGAGAAAACCAUGCGACAAUAAACGCACUGGUCAUAUCGAUCCACCCUACCUGCAGAACGAGAAUGGAGGUGAAAAUGUGCUUCCUUUUAUUUACUUAACAUCUCAUGCAACUGUUGAAUUUGAUCCGAGCGGAGACUAAGGGCCUGCUGCCGCACAGUAGACACUGCGCAGUAUAAUACUUUGCUUGUUCUAGCAGUGAAUUUUCUCGUGUUGCAAUGAUGACACAAUGACAAAUCUGCUCGACCACUCUUGGUUUACAUAUCAGUUCUAUAUGCACGAUUAAACCAAAACAAACACAUCUCAUCUUUCCUCAGAGAAGAGGAAAACCUCAGAAAUCACACGACAUUGAACAUAUCACUCAGAACAAGCUCCUCACAAUAAAAAUGGAAAACAAAAGCUUAUUUGAGAAAGAUUUUGUCCAAGAGAACAUUGAGGCCUGCUGCAGUAAAGUGGACACUAUGGAGUGUUAAUCAUUCUCGUGAGUGGUGUCUCAAGGGCUAGAGUGACGCUGCAAUGACUCUGUUCGAUCACUCGUAGUUUAGGACUCAGUUGACCUAGCCAGGUUCACUCGGUACAUAUCUCCUCAAAACUCCUCAAAGCUUAGUGGGUGUCACUCAGUAGAAUAACGGAGUGAUCAAUGAAAAAGUAGCUAAACGAACACGGCUUAUGUUGCGUCAGAUUUGCGAUGUAAGUGAGAGAGAAAAAAAACCAAUGACACUAACAAACAGCAAGAAUGGAGGCGAAGCGAAGGGUUCCUUUACAGACUUUAACGGGAUACAUUAUAUCCAACAAGAGACUGAGGGCCCACUGCAGCAAAAAGGAUACUGUGGAGUGCACGAGUGUGGAUACCACUUUGGAAUGCGUUUUUGAAUCAGAAAAAUUCUAACUUACAAGAAGAAUGAAGGCACAUGGCUGCUUUGUCCAAGGGGACACUGAGGAUCUGCUGCAAAAUAUGGCGACUUGAAUCAUUCUAAUGGAGGAUUCUCAAACGUAACAUCAACGAAUCUGCUUGACCAGUCCCACCUGCCCAUUAACAUUACAAUUUUGAAAAUUAUUUGAAUAAGAAAAAAGAUAUAGCAUUACAUAUGUUGGCUCGCAUAUGCAAAUGUAAUUUACAAUGUUAACUCAUACAGGACUGGAUAAGUCAUGCAUGCUGCUUUUACCAAGUACUUAGUACCGUACUCGUUUAACCUCUGAUUGCAACAGCAACAGCAAGAAAGCCAGAAAACCAGACCGCAUUGAACGCGUCACCUGCCGCGAGACAUGACAACAAACAACAAAAAUGGAGGAGGAAGAGGGAUUCCUGCAUCUAUGUUGAGAUAAAUUUUUAUCUGGGGGAGAAUGAGGGCUUGCUACCCCAACGUUGAGACUGUGGAGUGAAGUUUUAACAGAUUUUGUAUUGUGGUUUUUUGAAUAAGAAGUGCGUGAAUACAGUAGGUCUCCAUGAGAGGGGAUUGGGAGGGGGUGGGGGGUGUGCCACACUUGUGAGCAACGAGUUUUGCCGUAAUCCAGAUGACAGAUGGCCACUUGGAGCACGGCCAAUGCAAAUGGAAGAAAGUGCACUUGAUUUGCGAUGUUAAACAGAUCUGCAGCAACAAAUUAACAGGUCCUGAGGAGGUCAAACGUGAACCUGCCCAACUCAUUUUGAAUAUCGGAAGCGUUUGGGAUUCAUUCCCUGGUAGGCAGGUGCCCAGCAAGCAACUUCAAUGUCUGGUUUUGGCAAACAUGCAUGGGGGUUUCCAUACAACUCAUCAAAGUACAGCACAAAUCCACGAGUUUGUCCCAAAAAACAGAUUCUGCGUUGCACGAGUCAUCAUUACGGUGCUUCAAGAAGCAGAAAUAUGCUUGGCCUGCCAUCCGAGUAUUAAUAUGUUUUAUAUAAAGGCAAAUAUGAAUGAUGUUAAACCCACAGGGUCUGCAAUUCUUUCGCAGCAGUUUAAGUGUUGACAUCUUGCAUGUUACAACAUUUUGCAGACCGACUGACUGCAGGGGGGAAAAUUUCUAAAAAUAAACGCUUCAUUUAUGAUACAAAUCCAAAGAGAAUUAAAAGCAAUGUAGCCAGCUUCGCCUUAAACAUGUCUAAUUGGAUGACAAUGUUGCCCAACAGCUGGAUCAGAAAAUAGGUCAGCAUCGGUCCCGCCCUCCAACCUAACCCUGCCCAUCUCCCAUGCAACCAAAUGAAUGUUUAUGUCAACGGCGGAGGAAGAGAUCAACCAAUAUCAUCAUAUUAACUUGGGCUGGAUUCUAUGCCGCCACAUGAGUAAAACAAACAAAACAAAAACAAAAAAGGUUUUACGAUUCACUUGGCCAUCUUCCUGAGAAUACCGGGUUCCGAUUUUGUCUCAGUCGGACAAAUUUAUUAGCAGACUACCCAAACGUGUACCUUUUAAAAAUGUAUAUUAAUAUAUUAAACUCGCGAAUUGGUAGUUUGUGGACACGUUCCACCCACAAAUUGACAUUGUUUGCUGGUUUUAUCUACACUGUGACAACAAUAAAAUGAAAAAAUCUGUCAUGUAACAUCUGUGUCUCUGUACCCGAGUACUACUUUGUAAAAAAAACUUAACCUGCCUUCCCCAAGGCUGACUGUAAAAUACACACAAACAGCACAACAACAGCAUCCUUGGGUGAGGAAGCCACUCGAAACCAUUUAAGCUCGUCUGUCCUGUUUGA